ensembl:lncRNA
GGCAGUCACGUGUCCUGAGGACGUCUGCGUGCGACGUCCGCGCUCCCGCGCUCCCCAGUGGGAUGUGUGCGUUUCGCACCUUGCGGCGUGGGUAAGGGUACCCUGAGGGCCGCACGUUAGACAGCGUGCCCUCUGGAGCUGCUCCUCCGCGGGGCCACGCUGACAGAGGCCCUGGCCGUUUCGACCCUGCGCGCUCCGGAUCGGACUCCAGGCUCAGAGAAGUUUUCCGCCUGGGCCAGUGGACAGUAACUGAUUGGAAUAUAAUCAUUCGCUCAUUAUGUCACUUUCCCAAACUUACUCUGCAUCAGGCCAGCACUAAUCAGGAGCUCCACCUCAAAGCUCAGAGUCCUGUUGGGAUAAUGUGCAUAAUGACUGUCUCAGACUGUGAGAUGGAAACCAGGCCGUCCCUGGUGUUCUUCUCAAACUUAGGUAAAUAUGCCUUAGAACACAGAGGCAUAGGGGGCACCUUCUGAGGGCUGCCUUUCCGGGCCCAUUGCCGUAAUCCAGGAGGUAAGUAGUGUACACAUAGCCAAGUAUGUGAUGGUUUCUAUGAUAUGUGUGAAGAAUUACAUAGGGACACACCCACAGACCCGCUUUCUGCCCCCAGGCGUACAGAGUGAUCAUGCCUCCCCCAGUUUCCAAAUCACCUAAGGGAGGUCUUUGGAGAAGAGAUUUUGGUGGAGGAGGAUUAGAAACGCACUUUCAGGUCCAGUUAAUAUCAAUAAGUUUAAGGAUAUUUUCAGAAUUUUUUUUUUUAAUUGGUAUUAUAAGAUUUAUCUCUGAAGCUCUCAUUUUUUUAAAGAAUGCAAUUCAACUAGGAAUGUGUUUAUUUUUCACCUAUAAAAUUCAGUUUCCAAAAGUCAGAUGGAGUUUAAAACAUUUACCAACUUUUAAGUGCUCUAAUGAAAAUGUAAUUUUAAAUUGCAAUUACAUUAGUGAGACACGUGGGACUUCUCUAGUGGUCCAGUGGUUAAGACUCUGAGCUCCCAAUGUAGGGGUCGUGGGUUCAAUCCCUGGUUGGUAAACUAAGAUCCCACAUGCCGUGCAGUGCGGCAAAAAAAAGUUAAAAAAAAGUGAGACAUGUUUAUUAUUCUUUUUUAUUAGGGAAAAGGGCAGAAUCCUAAUAAGCGGAAGUAGCUCACGUGAGCAGCUGAGUGAGUGUUGUUCUGGGCCUUUCCUGUUCAAAGUGCUGUUUCCAUCUUGUAGAGAUGGACAGCCUACCCCCAGCCAAGGACAGAGAUGAAAGCGGCGCCCAGCAGCCCAGUCAGAUGGAUGGAGUGGCCUGAUUUCCCGAGGCAGCUUCGUGCUGAGUGCCCAUCACUGGGAGUGAGUCAGACAUACAGCUCAAGGUCUGCAGUAACAGAGUCAGGGAGACAAGGCAUAUACCACAAACUCAUGAAAAGUAACAGUACAGAAAGUAAGUAACGAUACAAGGGAGGCAGUAUGUUAUUAAUUGUCAGAGAACACAAGGUAGGAAGUCUGGGGCCCUGGAGAGCCUAGCAGAGUUGCCUCAGCACUGGAAUACUUUGUGCAAGAAGCAGGAACUGGAUAGGUGGGGGGAGGGUGCUGGGUACAGGCAGCUGAUGAACAAAGAUGGAAUGCAGGGAUCAACGGGCAAGUGGCGGUUAGGGUAGAGCUGGGUGCAGGCAGUGCCAAGGGAUUGGUGGGCACAGGUCCUCCAGGCCACCUGGGAGUAGUGGGAAGAAUUGGGAAAGUUGGGCAGGAGCUGGACAGGGAGGAAACAGACUGCUGGGUCUGGCUUCCCUCUGGUGUCUAACCAUGAGCUUCUGAAGGCUUUUCCGUAGGAAAAGUUAUGAAACCCGGUGUUACAUUCUCAAGAUCACAGGACUUCUCAUCACAAAUUGUUCAUAUUAUUCUGUUAGAAACCAGUUCCAGUGCUGAAAGAGGGUUUUCAAGAGGGGUAGCCCCAGAGCCCCCUCAGAAUGGAGGGUUUGAGCUGGAAGAGGCUUAUGAGAGCAGCCAGUGCGGGGCCCCUUUUGCAGGUGAGGAAACUGAGAAUGUGGCCUCGUGGAGCAGCAGCCUCUGAACGGCUCCCUGGCUGUCUCUCCCCUCAUGCAGGGGCCUCCUCCCACCUCUGGGCUGCUGCCCUUGAUCUUUGCCCAGAGGUCACGUCCCUCAGGCCUCAGGUCAGAGGUGUGCGCCCCCCCCACCCUCCUGCCUGCCUCUUCGUCCCCUCACUCUGCUCUCUGUACUGCUCCCUGGCUGUGCCUGUAAGUGCUCGUGCGUGCACUGUGGCUCCUCCAUAAGCCUCACCAGGCAGGGGGCCUGUGGUCCUGCUCUCUUCCGGCACUUGUGUCCGGCAUGGACACAGCCCCUGGAUGAAAGAACAAAGCUUUGGAAGCCCUGGUUCGGGUAUGUCUCCUUCACAUCUCUUCCUUCCGCGGCUCAAUGUAAAGAGCAGCAAUGCGGCCAGACCCUGAGAGCAUCUCCUGGGUGCUGCUCCUCCAUCUCAAUGGGUGUUCUUUCACAUCUCAAUGGUCCUUCUUUCACACAGGCUGGAACGUGGCAGCCGGGGCCUGCUUACUGUUCUCUGUCCAACCCUGUCCUGUGCCUGGUACCCAGCAGGUGUUCACCGAGCACUUGGAAUGGAUGGUGCAAGCCCCCUCUGAUGUGGAGCCAGUGUCUGUAAUCGCUUUACUUCUCAGAACCAUGCGGUAGUUAGCAUUUCCACUUGCCGGGCACUGUCCAUCUUUUCAUCAAGGAGGUUUAUGUCUACAUAGUAGGGAUAUCCUUGAGACACAUCAGUGCAAUGGGACAAGCUCACCCUCUUUUUACCGUCUGGCUUGGGUUCCCUGCGUGAGGUGGAUACUCUCUGUUGAUGGAAAAAAAAAAGAAAAGCAAGUGAACGUUUCUAGUGAGCGGCCUUAGGUAAGUUCAACAGCACGCAGCACAAACUCCGAACUCAGGUCAGUUAUACUUCAUGGGAUGCUCUUUCUUUGGAUCAAUUGUGCUUCGUUUGUGAAUGAAAGGUUCCCCCCCCUUAUUAUUUCCAUUCUUGUCUCAUCACAACCUAAAAUCUCUCCCAA